rnacentral:rRNA from 1 species
UACGGAGGGGGCUAGCGUUGUUCGGAAUUACUGGGCGUAAAGGGCGCGUAGGCGGCGCGAUAAGUUGGGCGUGAAAGGCCCGGGCUCAACCCGGGGACUGCGCUUGAUACUGUCGCGCUGUGAGUCCGGGAGAGGAUGGCGGAAUUCCCAGUGUAGAGGUGAAAUUCGUAGAUAUUGGGAAGAACACCGGUGGCGAAGGCGGCCAUCUGGACCGGCACUGGCGCUGAGGCGCGAAAGCGUGGGGAGCAAACAGG